UCUCGGCCUCCCAAAGUGCUGGGAUUACAGGCUUGAGUCACCGCGCCCGGCCUGUUGCAUGUUUUUAAUCAUCAAAUUAAACUUCUUUCCACUUCCUUACCUUCUUUGGCAUCCUUUUGCAAGAUUUUUUAACCACCAGGCUUAAAGUAAUGAGGUCCCAGAGCACUUACUGGCUUCGAGUGCACUUUAUUUAAGCAGUUACUAGUUUAAAAGCACCUUUAAUAACACUGAGAUCAUCAUCAUCAAAUUGCCACCCAACAAGCCUAGCUUCUUGCAGAAAAGUUAACUUGGAUAACACAUGGCUAAGUUUUCUGACUAAUGCUGCAUCAGGUAGAAAUUCUUUAGUACUGAAGUCAAAAAACACUAAUUGCUUAAGAUUCUCAAAUACACCCAUGAAGGCAAGCCAUCCAUCACUGCUCACACAAUUUCCUGCCAAAUUCAACUGCUGGAAGUUUUUCAGAGGGUUCUUUCCAAAAAAUCCACCUGGGUAAAGAAAUAAGUAUAUUAGUUGGAAGAAAAAUUUUUUUAAAAAAAAAGAGAAAUAGGUUCUACAUUUAUUUUACAUACUUUUUUUUCCACUUUGAAAUGGUCAUGUUUGAACUAGUGCUUUGCCUCAGAAACAAAUUAUUAAUAUAAUUCUCUAUAGCUAGGGCAGUGAUUGUGAAUAUGGUCUAUUAUAUUUACAAAUUAUAUUUUCCUAGAGUAUAAGGGAAUCUGAUAAAUAGUGAUUCAUAGUGAGGUAGCAACAAUAUAUAAAUGAAUUACAUUUUUUUCCCUUUUCCUUAUUCCUAGGAAAUGAAAGUUUGCUUUAAAAUUGAUGUGUGUGAGAUGCAAUUAAAUAUUCAGUACUUGUUUUCAAAACGAGUCAAUCUUUGGCAAUAUUAGGUCGUUUCCUCUUCUGAAGCAGUAAACACUACCUAACUGUUGUUUCUUUGGGUAUGUUCCUAACUGUAAACUUGAGUAAGUGAGCCUCCUUCAGUAUCUAAAGAUUUGGGUGUUUUUGUUUAUCUGUUUAUAUGUAAACCUCCCAAGCCUCUUCAGGAAGUUCCUCCAUUCCUUACAGAAUAGGGCACCUAAAGUAUUUCCUACAGAGGGUAGGUGGAUAUUCUGUCUUUCUGAUAUACAAAGAAUGCAUACACACACACACACACACACAUAUCUCCUUUGUAUGUAUGUGUGUACAUACACACACACACAAAUAAUUUAGUUUCAUUCUUUAUCCCAUGUUACUAGUUUAAAUGGUACUGGAACUCAAGUGAGUCUUGCAAUAAGAAAAAAUACCUUUCUUUCAAGUCAUGUACCAUCAUGCAGAUUGGCCAGUAUACAACAUUAGGAUUUCACAAAGCUAGCUCUGUUAAUUAUGCAUAUUAAAUUAUGCAAAGCGUUAGCCCUACCCACCUACCUGGCCUUCUCUGGAUGACUAAGUUCACCUUGAAGUACAGAGUGGACAGUCAGGCAGACUGGACAAGGGAACUCUAUUACUUACAUGUUUAUAUUCCAGAGUAUCACACACAAAUUGCAGAAGAUGUAUGCCUGGCUUAUCGAUCUAUAUUACUCAGCUCCUCUGAGCUCAUCUUAGUCUUAGUGUACCUCACCCAACUUUGAAGGGUUAAUUUGUUGUAUAUUAAACUUUUUUCUUUGUGUUUCUUGGGAGAUGUGUAAUAUUAGAUAAUGUUCCAGAAACUGACCCUUAUGGAAAUGAAGGUCCAUGAUUCACUUUGGAUUCCAAGUAGGAAAAGAGGUUUUAAAAGUUCCUUUCCAUUGUCUCAGUGAGACCACUAAAGAGUUGAAGUUAAAGAAGGAAAGGUUCAGUGCUGUACAAUCUUAAGGUUAGCAAGCAAAGACUAAAAGCUAUCUGCUACCAGUAAUGAGGGCUUAAUGACAGAAAUGGACAGUCUUGUCUGACCAGCUUACCUGGGUGAGGUCAACCUAGUUAUGCACUGAAACUGUACCUUUACCCACUUUCAGUAAGUGUGUUUACCAGCUCCGUAGUGAGGAGAUCUGUGAGUUUCGUGUCUGAUGUCACUGUGUGGCCUUUUGUAGUUAGUUCAGUGCAACUAAGUACGUUCUAGUAUGUGUCUUUAGUCUAUGUCAGCCAAUGUUUUCAUCACCAUCAUAAGGUCUUGAGUUUUGAAAGCUCUUCAGGUUCUUCUUUACAGACACCUAAAGUGAUUAACCCUGCCUGACCGUGGUCAAGAUGCUAGCGGCUAAAGUGGGCAAAGCCAGGUUGAAAUGAUCACAGAGCAGUGACCUAGCUAUGGCCAUAAAGCCAAAAAUAACACUCUAAGGAAUAGAGGAGUUAUCUGGACCUGAAAGACUGCAGAGAGGAAAACCACCCCACCUGCCUGGACUGCUCAUUUCUGGACUGUUACAUGAGAGAGAAUCAAGUUCUACCUUCCGUAAGCCAUGGUAUAGCUGGGUCUCUGUUAUCAUAGCUUAGCCUGUGCCCAGCCCAAAUACUACAUAGGUCCUCGCUUUCCCCUCCUUCCUCCUCUGUUCCUUGGAGGGUGGCUUUCUCCCUGCUCUCUCUUCCAUCUCAUCUUCAUGUCCUUUCUGCCUUUGCCCCUCCUCCAUAUGCUUCCCAGCAUGGCAUGCACUCAGUCCAAAUGCUGGUUGCCAGUUGUGUGUCUAUUUAAAGCUCCUUCCCCAAAGAUCAACUUUUUUCUCCUUCUCAGCUAGCAGAAUAUAUUUUCACCACCUAAAAGGAAUUUAAAAAGAAUUUAAAGCCCAUUCCACCCUCAGAGGGUGAGCAAUUUAUACUGAUUAUCUACUAAGGUAUAAGGAUCUUAUCAUCAAUUUAAGAGAGUUUCUUAGAUAAUUAUUAGAAUGUGUGCUAGUGCAGGAACCAAGAACAAACAAUAUUUGUCAUAAGCCAAGGGCAUGCCUUUUGUUCAUUUAAUCUGCACUGCUUAUGUUAUGAGGAGCAGAAUAGAUCCGAGAGAAACAGAAUCUAUGACAUUUAGAGCCAUAGGCUGUAUGUGGGCUGUGUAGAGUGCAAAUGGCUUGAUUAGAAUUCCAGGAGAAAUCUCAAAUGCCCUGGGUAGAAGGCUUCUGAUUCUUGGGGGUUCCUGUAUCCCAAACACAACUCUUGUUUGUAUUGUCCUGUGGCUCACCUGAACCAGUACCAGAGCUCUCACUGUUUAUUCAUUCAGCAACAUCUUUAGUGCUACUAUGUGCCGCGGAUUAUGCUGGGUGCUGAGGAUAUGUGCAAACGACAGAUGUGGUCCCUAUCUCAUUGGGCUUACAAAACAGUGUGAAGACAUGCAUUAUCAAGUAAUUAGAUGGCUGGUGGUGCUAUGGUAGGUCAGGGUACCCUGGGAGCACACAAAAGUAAUAGGCUUUCCCACUCCACUUUGUUCCCAGAACACUUGCAACUGAGCUUAUAUGCUCCAGGAGGAAGACUGGAGGAUUCUUAGGAGAAAUGGAACUGCUCCCCAGGAAAAGGCCCUACAAAGAAGGGGCCAUUUUGCUUGCCCAAUCACCCCCUAGUGAAGUUAGCCUGUCAAAAAAUCACUGCCUCCCUUAGACACAGAACUCCCUAUCAACUUGUGUCUCACUCUCAAAUGUGAAGAGGACAGUACAGGAUUACCAGACAUUUGACAACAGCCUCCCACAAGGAAGACUGAGACUAAAAGCCAAACAACUCUCAAAGAAAUGAGGCACCAUAGAAAACAAGAAAAAUCAAACUCCAAAGACUGGGAUAUGUCAGAAGUGACCAGAAAUGAGUGGGCUGCCGUGCUGUGCGGACACUCACAGCCUGUGAAGAGGUCUAGUGAUGAGGAAGUGAGGCCUCCAGCCAACAGCCAGUGUUAACUUGCCAACCAUGUGAGAAGUUACCUUGGAAGGACAUCCUCCAGCAGCCCCUCUCAUGAGAGAGGUCAAGCCAGAGCUAACCUGCUGAACUCCCAAGUUCCUGAACCACAGAAACUGUGAGAUAAUGGUUAUUGUUUUAAGCCAUUAUGUUUUGAGGCCAUAUGUUAUGCACAGAUUGAAAACUAAUGCAGAUAGUAUGAGGGCUUCUUUCAUCAACUGCCUGAGGUUGGUGGUGUCUUCAGUCAUUUAUAUAGAUCUAUUUGUUUCUGGAUAAUAUUACAGUUAUUUAAAGAUAUUUUGUGACUCUAUUUAGAUACAGCUACAUUCACCUUUAUAUAUAGUGUUGAAUACCCAAUAAGUAACUUGAAAAUAUUUCCUGAUAUUGGAGGGAGGGGCGUUGCUGAAUUUCAGAAAGUUAAGGCUAGUAAGAACUAUGACUAAUAUAAUACAUCUUAUUGGAUACUGUGAAUGCUUUCCAUUUAAUUCUGUAGGUAAAGGGCUUACAACCUGAAGGAAGGCCGGUGUUUUAAGUCUUCUUACUCUAACAUGAAUGAAUUCCUUAGACAUACUUAUAUUUUUAAAAAAAGAGGAAGCAAAAUAAAAUAAGGGGGCAAAAUAAGCAAAGCCAACUCAAGAACUUUUUAAGGGCCAAAUCCAUUUAUCUUGGCUCGAUAUUUGUGUACCUACCUAAAAUUCUAAUCUCUGUAUCUGUGAGUCUCCAGUUUUUCAACCCAAGCUUGACGAGUUGUGGGACCUCCUCCAAAUGUUUCAACAGGCUGGUCAGGCUGCCUUGCACAUCACAGCCCCAGGGCAGCAUCAGUGCAGUGAGCUGUUCUAGCACGUUCAGCCUGUCAACUGGAAGAAACAAAGAGCAGUUCAGGGACUGGAUGAUCUCAAAACUGAGGAAGAACGAAGGGAUGUUGGGGAAGGAAUGAUCGUUAUGUUUGGUGGCUCUGUAGCCUACUCAAUCUGCAAUGAGAAUCUACUUAAUUUUUGGUUAUUUUUAUGGAAAGUGUUCAAGCUUAUACAAACAUUAUGCAGAAGAAUAUAAUGAAACUAUAUAUACUAAUAAGUCACCUUUCAAAAACAUUAAAUCAUGGGCAAUCUUGCUUAAUCCUGACCUAAUUCCCCCAGUAUUAUUCUAAAGCAAAUCAUGGACAGUAUGAAUCAGUUCUUUCCUUUUUUUUUCUUUUAACCAUAAUCACAUAUCACUGUCACACCUAAAAAUCCAUAUCACCAAUUCCUUAAGCAAAUUUGUCUUGCACAUCAGCUACUCUGACAGUUGCCUCCUCAAAGGAGGAAAGCAGGUGGGAUCCCGCCUCAAAGUGCAGUGAGCAUAUGUAAACUGGUGACUUAAAAGACAUGGGCCUGUGUUUGUUAAGGGCAGUUUAGGAAAGGCCUAAAUGAUUUUCCUAAGGAGGGUGCAUCUAGUAAGGCACACAUGGGUAUAAAAGACCUCAGGGCCCAGGCCAUGUAUUUCGACUACCCAGUACACAUAUUCAAGCAUCUGAUUUUGGCUGAAUUGUCAUUCUUACUCAGUUCAUGUAGAGCUUCUUUUCCAUCUUUUUCCAGGUAAUUUUCUGAUAAAUCAAGAAUGCUCAGUUUGACCAAAUUGUGAAGAUUCUGAGCUGGGAAAAAAAGUAAUCCAAAAUAAAAAAGUUUUCAGCAACCUUAUUGAUGGAACCGGCGGCCAUUAUCUUAAGUGAAAUAACUCAGAAACGGAAAGUCAAAUACCGUAUGUACUCACUUACAAGUGGGAGCUAAAUAAUGUGUACACGUGGAGAUAGAAAGCGGAAUAGACAUGGAGACUUGGAAAGGUGGGAGGGUGAGAGGGAGGCAAGGGAUGAGAAAUUAUCUAACUGAUAAUGGUGGUUACACUCAAAGCUCAGAUUUCACCACCACGAAAUAUAUCAAUGUAAAAAAACUGCACUUGAACCCCCAUAUCUAUAAAAAUAAAUAAUAGAUAAAUAAAUAAAGCAAAACUAUAUAUCUAACAUUUUCACAGUAUUCCUGGCUAUUAUUUCCAGCCAGGCUUGAUUAUAGCUGUAAACUAAAAAUCCUAGGCCCCCCUGCACCAAUGGAAUGCAUCCCCUCUGGGCUAAGGGGACCCCAGAAAAAAACUUAAACAAAGGACCUGGCCAUGACAGGAUGGGAGGUCAAACACACAUCAUCAUACUCCCUCUCUUUUGUGGUUUGAACACAACUCAUCAGCAUUACUGUUAACAUAGAGAUCAUAAGACUAACAGAACAGACUUUUUAUGGCAAUAAAAUACCAAGUUAUAAAUAGGACAUAAGACCAUGCCAGGCAAAGGCUAAGUCACGCAGCUCUACACUUAAAGAAUAAACUGUCCUAGGCUGGGCAUCGUGGCUCAUGCCUGUAAUCCCAACAGUUUGGAAGGUGG